GACGAAAGCAAACGCAGCGGACAAGAGCCAGCUAAAUUGAUCCUUUGAAUGCCUCUCCUGGACAGAUAGCGAAUGGCAUCACCUCCCUUUCACUUAUCCGUGUGAUGACUCUCUAUCCGCUCGCACGAUGAUAGUGCUGCUUUGGCCUGUAAUUACUUUCACAUUUUUGAUAUGCUGAAUCAUGCAAAAUAAUUUCCUUAUUGGCCAGAAAAAUGCACAACUUAACUUUUUGACAAAAUGCCCCCAUCCCCGCCAUGGGCAAAAAAAGUUCUCCUGCCCCCGAGGUCUGGCUCAGAUCCAUCCAUCCCAUGGCCCGCCAUUCCAGCCACCACAUCGUGAUGACUUUCAGGCUUUCAUUAUUCAUUAUCUAUGCCUAGAGCAAAUCUGGGGAUCAAGGUUUUCGGUUGGCGUUUGGAUUUUGCGUUGCCUUGGUUUUAAUUAAUGAAGCUACAAUAUGACAACAAAGCUUAACUAAUUAAUUUGUUGUCUGGGCUGCUGGUAUCAUCAAAAUUUAUAAGAAUACAAGAAUUCUUUUCUCCAAAAAACAGAAAUGCCAAAAAAUCCACCCCCGACAUUCAAGUUAUGGAAGACAAACUGGGCCAUAAAUUUCCAAAAAAUUCGAGUUUUUCAUCUGCAGUUUUCCGACACAGACGAGUCAAGAGGGCAGGAGAGCGUAAGUCAAGAUGCGUUUGCUAAUGUUGUGAAAGAAUCGAGAACAAACAGAGUAAAAAUACCGAAAAUAUGCAAAUCAACUUACUCCGAUGGCUGGCAAGGAACAAAAAGCAUGAAUGUGGGCAUGCGAUACAUUUCGAUAUGGAUUGAUGUAAAAUUGAUGCGACGCAGAGUGGGUUAUUGUCUGGCCCGCAUAAACAAAACACAACAAAACAAGUAUAAAGUAAAAACAAAACACAGCACCAGAGAAAAAAAGCAUCAAGAAAUUUCAAUAAUGCUAAAGCAUUUGUUCCCAACUUGUAGGAUGGAAGGGCGAAAAAAUAUGAGGAAGCAGACAAAGCCGGUAGAGCACUUCAGGCAAUUUAUGGCAUAUGUUACCUAACACACACACCCAUACAUCCACUCGAAGGACACCCCUUCGCCCGCAUACACACUCAUAUGUAAAUGUUAAAAUAAUACAUAUGCGUAUGGCAUAAAAAUUGAUAUGCCAACAUUUCUUUCAUGUGUGAGUAAUUCACAAGUAAAAUGCAGAAAGUUUUUAAAUAAAAUAUA
rnacentral:sRNA from 1 species